rnacentral:lncRNA from 1 species
UCUCUCUCUCUCUCUCUCUCUCUCUCUCUCUCUCUCUCUCUCUCUCACACACACACACACACACACACACACACUACCUCUUUUUCUCUGUCCCUCUCCUCUCUCUCUCUUCUCCGUUUUCGCUCCAUCCCCUGUGCUUCUCUAUCAAGACCGUCGGUCGUUCUUCUUUAAAACCAGGCAAGUCAACGUCAUGCCACGCAUGCACGACUAGUUGUCUUCCGGUGGGCCUCCCACGUGUACUCUACGCUGAUACAUGAUGUAAUCACGAUGCCAUCUCCUGCCAACUAACUUAUCAAUGGUAUCAAUGUGUUUAAAGAACCUAUUUAGAAGGUGAAAAUAAUGAAAUAUCCACUAUUACUCAAUCAUGGAAUUAAAAUGUAGAUGAUGAGUCUACUUAAAUCCUUAAUUCAGAUUUUUUAUAAAAAAAUUAUAGUAAUAAAAGAAGCUCAUAUUCUACAUAUUGCACUUGAUUAAAUAACUCAUAAAGUAGUCGUGGAUCCCUAAAAUCCAUGAUCUAAUAAUAUAAAAAAUAUAAAAGGAAAUAAUUACCAUGCUUAAGGAAUAUACAUUUCUAAUUAUUAUGCUCCACUGACACAAAUCCCCCUUUCAUCUUACACUUUUGGUCCUUUGGGUUAGAUGAGUUAUGAGUUACACUCUAUGGGUCUUUUUACAUUUCUCAUAAAGUCUUGGGUCUUUGCAAAUUAUGUUCCCUUUUUUGAGAAGAACUUGAUCUCAAGUUAUGAUCAACUUCUGCAUUAUAUUGACUAUGUAUAUUGAAGAAAUAUUAUGUAUUUUGGUUUAAAAAGGAAUUAUCAGUCAUAUAUUUAAUCAUGUGAAUAUUGUUGGAACUAUAGGGCUACAUGAAAUACUAAAAGGUGGGAGGUGAAUUGGAGUUUUUCUAGUUUUUUAAUUGUUUAAUUUAAUAAAUUAAACUUAUGUUUGUCAACAUAAUAAUCUUUGUGUACAUUACAUACAAAAGUAAUAAUUUAUAAAAUUAAGCCUUUAAAUAUUUACUUAGUAUUAUGAUGAGUUCAGAUCUUCAAAGAUGAAGAUAAUUAAUUUGAUGAAUUUUAAUUUUCUAAAAAAUAUUUGUAAAAUAUUUUCAAAGUUGAAUUUUAAUUUCUUAGUAUUGACGUAAUAAAAUCGAUCUUCAAAGAUAAAGAUAAUUAAUUUGAUGAAUUUUAAUUUUCUAACAAAUAUUUUUAGCUAGAAUAAAAGAACAAAAAGAAUAUGAGAUGAGAGAAGAAGAUCAACACAAACCGUCAUAAAUGUGGGUAGAAGAUGUUGUUCAUGACUACUUAAAAGGUAAUCGGUGCAUUAGAGAGGUCAAAUGACAUGACAACGUACUCGUAGUGCUCCUAGUGGGUGUGAAACACUGUCUUGAUGAUAUCCUCUUUUCUUAUUGAUAUCUAGUGAUACCCAAAUUUCAAGUUGAGUUUAGAAAAGAUUGCCAUACCAUAGAGUUCCUCAAGAAGCUCAUCCACGAUCAAAAUGGAGAAUUGAUUGGGGAUGGUAAUGAUGUUGAGUGCAUGGUAGUCGAUGUAAAAUUACCAACUUCCAUCUUUUUUUUUGAUGAAGAGGUCAUGCUAGAGUAAGGGUUUGUGAAGGGACGAAUCAACCUUAUGUCCAAUUACUUUUUAAUAAGAUGUUCCAAUUCAUUCUUUUGGAGGUGGGAGUAGUGAUAAGAGUGACAAUUUACUGGCCCCACUCCAACCUAAAGUUGAAUCGUGUGGUCCAUGCUAUGAUUUGGAAGAGUUGUCAUGUAGUUGUGGAAGACUAUUCAAAAGUGCUAUCAGAGUCACUCGAUCCACUCUAUGAUCUCAUCAGUAUGGAGGAGGCAUCGUGAUU